rnacentral:tRNA from 1 species
GGGCCUAUAGCUCAGUUGGUAGAGCAGCGGACUUUUAAUCCGUGGGUCGAGGGUUCGAGCCCCUCUGGGCCCA